UACGGAGGGUGCAAGCGUUAUCCGGAUUCACUGGGUUUAAAGGGUGUGUAGGCGGGUAUUUAAGUCAGUGGUGAAAUCUCCGGGCUCAACCCGGAAACUGCCAUUGAUACUAUUUAUCUUGAAUAUCGUUGAGGUUGGCGGAAUAUAUCAUGUAGCGGUGAAAUGCAUAGAUACGAUAUAGAACACCGAUUGCGAAGGCAGCUAACUAAGCGAUGAUUGACGCUGAGGCACGAAAGCGUGGGGAUCAAACAGG
rnacentral:rRNA from 1 species